GGAAGUCUCAAUCUUAAAGUCUUCUGCAUGGCAUGCAGGGGGUCAGGAGUUCGAGUCUCCUUGGCUCCA
rnacentral:tRNA from 1 species